AUCUUUUAUACAAUGAGGUAAACUAUUAAAUGUUUUAAUUGCAUCUGUAAUUGGAUUUCUUAAACCUAUGUUAGUUCUUGUAGAAACUUGAUAAACAUUAUUUAGUGAUCUUGUUUGAUGAUUAUGUACAUUAUGGUAAAACAUAAUAUUUAUGUUACUUUUUUGUCUGUUGUUUAUAAUUUUAUAUACAAGUUUACAUUGUUCUAUCUCCAAUAUCACUUUUAAUUUGUUUAAACUUAAAUUUGAAUAAAUUGUAUUAGAACUUGUAAGCCAAUCAAAAUUAAACAAAAUUUUCAAAAUUUUAUUUUGCAAAAUUUGAGCCUUAUUAAAAUUAACUUCACCGCACAUACCCCAUACUGGCAAGAGGUACCUAAAAUGUGUGAGAAAGAAGGCAUUAUAAAUUUGAAAUUUACUUUUUUCAGACAAAUAAUCUCUACUCCUAUAUAAGGCAGAUAGCAUUGGAACUGUUUUAUCAAAAAUUUUGUUUAAGUGUAGUGACCAAUUUAAAUUUUCAUCUAUUUGCAAACCUAAAUAUUUAAUAUUCGACACUUUUUCUAAUAUUACAGUAUUAAUAUUAAUAUUUAGAUUAUUGCUGACUGACUUAUUUUUUUGUUUGAUAUCAUGUAUUUGGUUUUCUCAAUGUUAAUUUUUAAUUUAUUUGAAAACAGCCAUUUAAGAUAACAUUUUAGGUCAUUAUUAAUAAGUUGUGUUAAAGAAGUUUCAUCUGUUCCAGCAUAUACCAGUACAGUGUCAUCUGCAAAGGUCUAUGAAGACAGCUAUAACUAUUUGUUGUUUAUCUAAUGCCAUUGAAAUACAGUCUACAAAAUCCACAACCGCACCAAGUGUACUACUGUUCUUUAUAAAGCCAUAUUGAUAUUUAUCAUUCAAUAGAUUGCAAGAGUUAAUGAAAGAUAA
rnacentral:lncRNA from 1 species